GAUUUUCAUUUGGUGUCAAACGCACCUAGUCGUAAACAAAUGGAAAUUGAAAGUAAAAGUGCAACGGCACGGUAUAUUUUUUCUGGCAAUUUUUGUUUUCCAAUAUCUUGAACUUUCACGACAAAAAGGUCAUUUGCCCGAAAUUCAAUAUAUGUAUCAGUGAGAGGGGCUAAAGUUUGUAUGGAAGUCUAUGGGAAAACAUUUGGUGGUGUUUGUCCUAUAGAAAAGCGAUGCAUUCUCAAGAAGGAAGAGAUUAAUGAACCCUACCCUCUUACAAUGAACAACACAUGGAUACUCUCGGGAUGAUCUCUUUGCUUUCAUUGAGAGUUCCAAGAUGUGGGUCUGAUUGACUGGGGUGUGAAAUGUAACAGCCAAUGGUGUACUUAAGCGAUGCAUUCUCAAGAAGGAAGAGAUUAAUGAACCCUACCCUCUUACAAUGAACAACACAUGGAUACUCUCGGGAUGAUCUCUUUGCUUUCAUUGAGAGUUCCAAGAUGUGGGUCUGAUUGACUGGGGUGUGAAAUGUAACAGCCAAUGGUGUACUUAAGCGAUGCAUUCUCAAGAAGGAAGAGAUUAAUGAACCCUACCCUCUUACAAUGAACAACACAUGGAUACUCUCGGGAUGAUCUCUUUGCUUUCAUUGAGAGUUCCAAGAUGUGGGUCUGAUUGACUGGGGUGUGAAAUGUAACAGCCAAUGGUGUACUUAAGGUAAGACUGUCAGUCCAAAUAUUCAAGAGGUCAGAUAAGCAAUGGAUAUGUGUUCUAAAUUUACUAAAUUGACCACUUUUUACAAAUGUUUCUUUUACUCUAUAGGAAAAACCCCUACAUAAACAAAUACAUGGGCGCAGACAUUUUGGACACCCAACGUUGCGCGGAGGAGAAAAUACUAGCUGGCGCGUGAUUGGUCGAUAAGAGAAAAGACUUGUUAUGUAUUUGACAAGUGAAAUAAAGUUGAUAAAAAUUUCAUAUCAAGACUUGGGUUUCUUUGAGGUAUACAGGAGUUACAGGUAAAAAUUUGAAGGUAGGGAUACACUUUGGUUAGAGAUUUUCAUUUGGUGUCAAACGCACCUAGUCGUAAACAAAUGGAAAUUGAAAGUAAAAGUGCAACGGCACGGUAUAUUUUUUCUGGCAAUUUUUGUUUUCCAAUAUCUUGAACUUUCACGACAAAAAGGUCAUUUGCCCGAAAUUCAAUAUAUGUAUCAGUGAGAGGGGCUAAAGUUUGUAUGGAAGUCUAUGGGAAAACAUUUGGUGGU